UGGUAGGGCAGAACACACGACUGCAGGAGUUCACGGAGCGCUGGGCUGCAGCUCUACCAGGAAUAGAAGAGAAAGAGAUGGGAUGUAUUUAGCAAGACAGACUGGAAGGAAACCAAUAACAGUUCACCAGUUUGGCAUUUACAAUGAACUCAGAGUUGGUGUAUAAUGACUCCUUUUCAUCUUACCUGACACUGCAAUCUGCAGUUCUCCUUCAGG